GUAAAACACCCCGCACCUCGGCACUCGGCAGUAAAACACCUCGCACUUGGCCGUAAAACACCCCGCACUCGGCGGUAAAACCCCGCAUACAGCGGUAAUCCGCCGCACACCGCGGCAUCCUAAUUGGGUUUUGGGCCUUUCACCCUAGGGAGGCACAAUCUUUACUUAAUUAUCCGCUCGAACACCACGAGCCCAAAUCAGGUUUAGGGUUUUUAACCCAAGGGAGACACAAUCCCUACUUGUUUAUCCCUACGCCCCAUGAUAAGGCAUAGUAAUCCCCGUACAUGGCGGUAAGGGAAAUCACCACCACACGAAACGGCUGUCCGACACUCUUCGAUUUUACACACUGCCAUCAUUAAUCAUCAAAUUAUAUUCAAGGUACAAUGACCAAAACAAAUUUACCUUACUGCAAAAGCAUUGCAGGAUGUUAGAAGAGGAACACAACUGAAUCUUACCAGUAUAAACCUUUUGAUCAUACCUCUGAAGACCUCCUUCCUUGCAUCAUAAAUUUGCUGCUGAUUUAGCAAAUAAUUCUGCAGGCCAUGAGGUUUUAAAGCAAUUUAUACUGAUACUAAUAAUGGAUUAGUUCAAUGUUAUUGACACUGAUACUAAAAUCAAAGUAAGCAUUCGACCAUAAAAGAUGCAUGCCCAAGCUAGAUGACAAAUAAUCAAUGAAUUACAAAAUCAUUGAUUUUCUGAAGAUCACUGUCUUAUUCCCAGACUUCACUUGUCUAUCCCAGUCAUUAUUGGAAAUAAAUUUAGUCAUGCAAAAACUUUGAAUUUGCCUUACCUGUUUCUGCUGCUGAUGCCACUAUCACAUCACAGCAUAACUAUUACAAGAAAUAUCUUUGUUCCAAGCAUGUACUAUUCCAAGACAUAAGAAAGAACUAAUUGAUUCAGUUCAUACCAGGAACUACAAUGCAUGUACCCUUAUAUUGUAGGCACCUUUUACUCUGAUCAUAGAUGGACUCCCAACUAUAGGCACACUGAAGAUCAAUCUUUCAAGAGAGAGUAAUUACAAUAUUGGCUCUUACCACAGUGGAGCAAAAAUAGACUUACAUCACAAAAGAGUAAUAAGGAGUGAAGAUUAUUAAGACCAAAACAACCAAAUCAGUAAACAUAUGCAGGUUUAUGCAAUCCAAAACAUGGUGUAAAAUCUUGUUAAGCCAGCAAAGUAAAUAUGCUAGACCUCCAAUUGUAGACUUCUCUCGAUUAUAAUUUGGUCUCUGCAUAUUAGCAUACCGCAUUAACAUGAAGGUAUUACCACUGAACAUCCUAACUCUAUUGACGAACCAUUAAAGCGUUGGUCCAGAAUUUAAGCAAAGCUAUAUACCCAAAUAGUAUAACUAUUACCCAUAUCAGUUUGCUUUGGAAGUAUAGCACUCUUUUGCCAAACUGAUAAUGAAUAACUGAAAGUUCAGAACUUGAGGAAAUACCCCAUAUUUAGCAAGUGAGAUUAGAUCACCUUAACUAAUAGAAUCUUUAGCUCAUCAAUUCAGACAGAAACUCACUAAUAGAUUACUUAAAUCGCACCAUGUCUUCACAGUAAGCAUCAAAACCAAUAUUCCUUUGCUUCAGUUGUCAGUAGAAUUAUUAAAGAAAUCUAGAACGGGUACAUACAAUAUUCAAAUAAACAUUACAUACAAAAGGCCAAGCCCUCAAAGCACAGACCAAAACACACUCAAUCAAUGGUUGCCAGUAUAACGAAAGAUCCAUGAAAACUCAAAUAGCAAAUAUAGGAAAGAUCAGGAACAAAUAGCCAACGCCCCCUCUACAACUAACAACUCAAAAGAUACAAGUAUCAAUAGAAAAACAUGGGUGUCGCCCAACAUUCAUUAAGUUUGAUACAUAAAUGAUGAACCAAAGAUGUCACUACUGGAAGUAAAAGUAAGAAAAUUAAGACCUUGUGAAACACUAAAAUGGUCCCCUAUAAAGAGGUACAAUUGCCACCAACAAGAAAAUUAACAAACUGAGACACACAAUUACAUUUGAACUCCCGGUGCAACCUUCAGUUCCUAGACACUCAUGGAUCCAUCAGAUCAUAAGCAAAGAUUUCCACUAACAACUGAUUAAGCUUAUUGUAAGCUGCCUAGUAAUUCAGCUAACCACAGUAACAAAAACUCUAAAUAUUUUUGUCCAAACUAGUAAUGGAAACAGAAGAAUACAGUUCCUCCUAAAUCCCUACACACAAACAUCCCUAUGUCGAUUGUACAAAUAAAAAAAAGAAACUAAGCCAAGAAAAGCUAAAAAGCCAGUAGACACACAACAACACAUACAAAAAUCAAAAUUUCCAGGCAACCAUCACUACAUCAACUCAAAUAAUUAACUAACUACUGUAAAAUCACCAAGGUUCCCGCUCGAUAACCAAAACAAGAUUCUCCCACAGCUCAUACCCUAGGAAUCAUAUUCCCCCUCUGAUACCAUUUGUAACGCCCUGACCCAGAUUUAACACAAGAAAUACAACUCAUUACCUCAAUUUUCCAUAGCACAUAACUUCGAUUUAGAUUUUAAAACUUACCUUCAGGAACUCAAUUCUGUAAAUAGAUAACUUUCAAGGAAAGAACUCUUCUUACUUGAAAUCGGUUUUUUCAGAAACUCCAUAUAAGUGUCGAGAGUCCGCCUUCACUCCACAGUACCCUCUUCAGUUGGCUCCUUUUCGGUUUGAACUGGUGCUAGCCACCACCACAGGUUUGAGGAAGGUCGGAGGGGUUCUAAUCGAUAUAGUUUGUCGCCGAGGUGAGGCCGGAGACGGCCUGACCGUGGAUGCCGACCAAACCCAGUCGGUUUCUCCCUCCCUCCCUCCCUCCAGACCUCCCUCCCGAGCCCUGCUCUUUUUCCAUCGUCGAAUCCCACUCCCUUUUAUAUGAGAUCUGCAGAAAAUCGGUGGGAGGAGAGAUAACGAUGAGAAGGUCGGUGCCCCCUCCCUUCUUCUCGACCCUGCUUCCCUUUUUUUUUUUUUUAAUUUUGUUCUCUAUGUCAGUUCAAAACUGAUUAGGGUGGACAUAAAAAACUUAAAUCCCGGUCCCGUCCUAGUUCCGUCCUGAAAUUUAACGGGAUGAGACGAGAUUUAUGUCAAAAAACACUAGGCCCGUCCCGUCCCGUCUCGUUGUUUUUCUACGGGACGAGACGUGGGACUGAAAAAUUGAGGCCUGUCAGGCCCGUCCCGUCCCGUGUAAAAUAUAGAAUAAUCUUAACCAUUGAUUUUUUUAGAUGUUUUGAUCUCAGCCAUUCAUUUUUGAACCCUAUUUAUACUAACACUUGCGGUCUAUCACUCUUUGACUCUCUGUCUUU
rnacentral:lncRNA from 1 species